UGCAAGUCGAGGGGCAGCAUGGUCUUAGCUUGCUAAGGCCGAUGGCGACCGGCGCACGGGUGAGUAACACGUAUCCAACCUGCCGUCUACUCUUGGACAGCCUUCUGAAAGGAAGAUUAAUACAAGAUGGCAUCAUGAGUCCGCAUGUUCACAUGAUUAAAGGUAUUCCGGUAGACGAUGGGGAUGCGUUCCAUUAGAUAGUAGGCGGGGUAACGGCCCACCUAGUCUUCGAUGGAUAGGGGUUCUGAGAGGAAGGUCCCCCACAUUGGAACUGAGACACGGUCCAAACUCCUACGGGAGGCAGCAGUGAGGAAUAUUGGUCAAUGGGCGAGAGCCUGAACCAGCCAAGUAGCGUGAAGGAUGACUGCCCUAUGGGUUGUAAACUUCUUUUAUAAAGGAAUAAAGUCGGGUAUGCAUACCCGUUUGCAUGUACUUUAUGAAUAAGGAUCGGCUAACUCCGUGCCAGCAGCCGCGGUAAUACGGAGGAUCCGAGCGUUAUCCGGAUUUAUUGGGUUUAAAGGGAGCGUAGAUGGAUGUUUAAGUCAGUUGUGAAAGUUUGCGGCUCAACCGUAAAAUUGCAGUUGAUACUGGAUAUCUUGAGUGCAGUUGAGGCAGGCGGAAUUCGUGGUGUAGCGGUGAAAUGCUUAGAUAUCACGAAGAACUCCG
rnacentral:rRNA from 1 species